GUUUUUUGAUUUAUCGCGGCGGCAGUGUGUUGGGAGGUUGAAAUGCGAGACGCCGCUGGUACAAGGUAUCUCUUCUCCUCUACUGCAGUGCAAACCCUCUUCGUUGGACACAACGUGAUGCAGCAGAAGUGCCCGGAUGUUCAAGUCCAAAAGAGGACCCGGAUGUAGUCGUUCCAAGUCUCAAACCUUGGAGCGAAUGGUGUUGCCAAAAGGAGUUUCCUUUAACACAUAGGAAACCAUAUGAUAUUUAUAGGGGUAUAAACAGAGAUUUUACUGAAACAGAGUAAAACCUCUAUUUGUAUAUCUAUCUGUUCAUCUUUCUUUAAAUGUAUAUACAUUCAUACAAUUGCAAACAUAGCUAAGUUUGAAUUUACCAUAUAUAUGUAUAUUUAUCGACAGAGCACAUUGAGAGACAUCUAUGUCUCUCUCUCUGUCUAUGAAGGCCAGUGUUUUAACCUUAAAGUCAAAGGUAUGGCUUUGAACAUGCUAGAACAUAAGCCAUACCUUACUCACUACUGUACCUUUUGAUAUCUCUAAAUCUGUCUGUGUGUUUGCUUGUUUGUUUGUCGUAUUAAUAAACACAUGACAUGAUCUUCUUGUA